rnacentral:rRNA from 1 species
UACGUAGGGUGCAAGCGUUGUCCGGAAUUAUUGGGCGUAAAGAGCUCGUAGGCGGUUUGUCGCGUCGGCUGUGAAAAACUCGGGGGCUUAACCCCCGGGCCUGCAGUGGGUACGGGCAGACUAGAGUGCGGUAGGGGGAGACUGGAAUUCCUGGUGUAGCGGUGAAAUGCGCAGAUAUCAGGAGGAACACCGGUGGCGAAGGCGGGGUCUCCGG